GCAGCGGAGAUGGCUCCGUCCUGGGCGUCUCCUCCGGCGUGCUCGCCGGUAACGGCGACCCCCGACGCGCGCAGCUGCAGUGUUUCCCUGUGCACGGGGACUCGGAUCUUGGAGACACUGGAUCGAGUUCGCUCACGAACAGGCCUGCACCUUUCUCUCUGUUUACACGCGCUGCAAAAUAUUCAGUUCGAGGCCGUGAUUCAGUUCGUCGGGCUGAACCCACUGCUCUUCUACGACGACACCCUCAUCGGCACCAUCACUUUUCUACAAGCAAGGAUUAAGAGUCGCUUGAAUUUCCCUCAUGUGUACUGAUGUUCCCUCCUAAUAUACAGCACCUUUUUGCUGUUUGGAGAUUUUGCCAGGGUGAAAGUUUGGAUACUGUUGGUGAAGGGCUUGAAAUUCUGAAAAACAUGGUAGCUGCUGAUAUAAAUUCGGUUGCUUUUUUCUAGUUGAACGAUGGUAGGAAUCACAUGAAUUUUACUCUUGUGGUGCUUCCGGCUUCCCUGCUCCAUUUGCUAUUUUGGUAUAUUCCAAGAUGCAUAAUCUGAGAUGAUUCCUGUAGAUUUUAUUUCAUGUGUUUCAUUUGAUGGUCAUUAUAAUUACCAAACUUGCUAGAUGCAGAUUAAUAUUGUGAAGUAUAUAUAGUCCAUUAAAAUCAUAAUAUUUUCUCGAACCGAACCAGUUCGAAAAUGAUUGCUAUUCAUUGAAUCUUUGUGCUUGUGAUUUGACAUAAUUUAAUAUUGAUGCCUUUUUCUUGCUCCACUUUGUUUCUUGAUUUAGCUGAACUAGUACAUUUGUUGUUUCUUAAGGAAUAAUCUUAAUUGUCCCUGGUUUCUGUAUCAUGUAUUAUUUAGAUUACCAUGAUAAGUAUCUGUACUUAUGUAGGAUCAGAAUGCACAUACAUUUGUUUUUGGUUCCUUAUUUAGUUUGGUAUAUGUACUUGAGCAUCUCUGUGAGUAUAGGUGCAUGCACUGCUUGUAUGAUCCAAUCGUCGCAUGGUUCCGUUUGAUCCAAUCGUCGCGCGCUUCCGCGAUCAUGCUUGAACUGUUGUGUACAAUAUCGUCGCCUUAUUAUUUUGCAGUCCUUUCGAAAUAUCUGUAUUUGCUUUGCUUAUCAUGCUCUGUUUAUUUUGUCUGAGGAUAAUGAGGAGGACUGAGCGACCGUAGUGGCCCCUUCUUCUUCGACUCCAUGUGUUUUAUGGGGUCUUGGCCUUGCUCACCGAAGUCCCUCGCAGACGUGCUUGGCGCUGGUAGCGUCGGCUUGCCUCCGGGUGCUUAGGUAAAGCCGUUCUGGCUCUGGUGGUGCAUCAGGUAGACAUCGAUGUAUGUAUCUGUUUGAGCCCAUUGAUGGCCUAGAGUCUCCAGUUUUGUAGUUGAUCAUCUGCUAGUAGGGGAGCGGAUGGCCGUCCUGGUGUUGAGGAGGCCUCGCUGGGGCGUUUGCGUUUGCGACCUUGGUGGUCGGGUGGCGCUGCUGGCUGCUGUUUGGAAGAUUGGAACGGCCACGGCAUAUUGUUGUAAUGAUGAUGGAUUCAUUUGCGUGUUCAUUUUGUUUGCUGACUUGCAUGGGUGGGUAGUCUUGGCCUGAAUGUACUAGAAAAUCUGGGAAGGCCAUGUGGAAAAUUGGAAUGAAUGGGCCUGUGUUGUUGUCUGGUUUUCGUGUGAAAUAAAACGAUGGAGGAUGAAAUUGCAUU